UUAGGAAAAACCCGCUUUGGUCCGGGCGGUUCGCCGUCCGGUUAAAAGGGAAUGUGGUUCGGUUCACCCAAUGGGUGCCAAGUCCACAACUGCCCCCGCAACUGUAGGCGGAGAGCGAAGCCGGAAAAUGCCACUGUCGCCCAUUGGGUGACGGGAAGGUUCGGCCCAGCGAUGACCCGUGAGUCAGGAGACCUGCCAAGGUGCUCACCCUGUU
rnacentral:ncRNA from 2 species